GACGAACCGAGCGAACGUUGUUCGGAAUCACUGGGCUUAAAGGGCGCGUAGGCGGCCUGUUAAGUCGAACGUGAAAUCCCCGGGCUCAACCCGGGAACUGCGUCCGAUACUGGCAGGCUUGAAUUCGGGAGAGGGAUGCGGAAUUCCAGGUGUAGCGGUGAAAUGCGUAGAUAUCUGGAGGAACACCGGUGGCGAAGGCGGCAUCCUGGACCGAGAUUGACGCUGAGGCGCGAAAGCCAGGGGAGCAAACGGG
rnacentral:rRNA from 1 species